CCUACGGGAGGCAGCAGUGGGGAAUCUUGCGCAAUGGGCGAAAGCCUGACGCAGCAACGCCGCGUGCGGGAAGAAGGCUUUCGGGCUGUAAACCGCUUUCAGCAGGAACGAAAAUGACGGUACCUGCAGAAGAAGGAGCGGCCAACUAUGUGCCAGCAGCCGCGGUGAUACAUAGGCUUCAAGCGUUGUCCGGAUUUAUUGGGCGUAAAGAGUUCGUAGGCGGUCGAGUAAGUUGGGUGUGAAAAUUCUGGGCUCAACCCAGAGACGCCACCCGAUACUGCUUAACUUGAGUUCGAUAGGGGAGUGGGGAAUUCCUAGUGUAGCGGUGAAAUGCGCAGAUAUUAGGAGGAACACCGGUGGCGAAGGCGCCACUCUGGAUCGAUACUGACGCUGAGGAACGAAAGCAUGGGUAGCAAACAGGAUUAGAUACCCUGGUAGUCCAUGCCGUAAACGGUGGGCACUAGGUGUGGGAUUCUAUUAACGAAUUCCGCGCCGUCGCUAACGCAUUAAGUGCCCCGCCUGGGGAGUACGGUCGCAAGACUAAAACUCAAAGGAAUUGACGG
rnacentral:rRNA from 1 species